GGCGGACGGGUGAGUAACGCGUGAGAAUCUACCAAAAGGACUGGGACAACCACUGGAAACGGUGGCUAAUACCGGAUGAGCCGAAAAGUAAAAAGGGAAACCUGCCUUUUGAAGAGCUCGCGUCUGAUUAGCUAGUUGGUGAGGUAAGAGCUCACCAAGGCAGCGAUCAGUAGCUGGUCUGAGAGGAUGACCAGCCACACUGGGACUGAGACACGGCCCAGACUCCUACGGGAGGCAGCAGUGGGGAAUUUUCCGCAAUGGGCGAAAGCCUGACGGAGCAAGACCGCGUGAGGGAAGAAGGCUCUUGGGUCGUAAACCUCUUUUAUCAGGGAAGAAAAAAAUGACGGUACCUGAAGAAUCAGCCUCGGCUAACUCCGUGCCAGCAGCCGCGGUAAUACGGAGGAGGCAAGCGUUAUCCGGAAUUAUUGGGCGUAAAGCGUCCGCAGGUGGCUUAUCAAGUCUGCUGUCAAAGAGUGGGGCUUAACCCCAUAAAGGCAGUGGAAACUGGGAAGCUAGAGUGCCGUAGGGGUAGAGGGAAUUCCCGGUGUAGCGGUGAAAUGCGUAGAGAUCGGGAAGAACAUCGGUGGCGAAAGCGCUCUACUGGACGGCAACUGACACUCAGGGACGAAAGCUAGGGGAGCGAAUGGGAUUAGAUACCCCAGUAGUCCUAGCCGUAAACGAUGGAUACUAGGUGUGGCUUGUAUCGACCCGAGCCGUGCCGUAGCUAACGCGUUAAGUAUCCCGCCUGGGGAGUACGCACGCAAGUGUGAAACUCAAAGGAAUUGACGG
rnacentral:rRNA from 1 species